UGCGCAGUCGGCUGAUUAAGUUUGUGGUGAAAGUGCGGGGCUUAACUCCGUAUGGCCAUGAAAACUGGUUAGCUAGAGUGCAGAAGAGGGUAGUGGAAUUCCAUGUGUAGCGGUAAAAUGCGUAGAUAUAUGGAGGAACACCAGUGGCGAAGGCGGCUACCUGGUCUGUAACUGACGAUGAGGCACGAAAGCGUGGGGAGCAAAUA
rnacentral:rRNA from 1 species